GGAGGGCCGGGAGGGCUAAUCUUCAACUUGUCCAUGCCAGCAGCCCCUUUUUUUCCAGACCAAGGGCUGUGAACCCGCCUGGGGAUGAGGCCUGGUCUUGUGGAACUGAACUUAGCUCGACGGGGCUGACCGCUCUGGCCCAGGGUGGUGGCAGUGCUCCUUUUGGACUUUUCUCUAGUGUUCCUCAUGGCGAGCAGAUGGAACCGGGAGACAUGGAGUCCCUGGCCAGUGUGAGUCCUAGCAUUGCAGGAGGGGAGACCCUGGAGGAGAGAGCCCGCCUCAAUUGAUGCCUGCAGAUUGAAUUUCCAGAGGCUUAGGAGGAGGAAGUUCUCCAAUGUUCUGUUUCCAGGCCUUGCUCAGGAAGCCCUGUAUUCAGGAGGCUACCAUUUAAAGUUUGCAGAUGAGCUUAUGGGGGGCAAUCUUAAAAAGUCCACAGCAGAUGCAUCCGGCUCGAGGGGCCAUCAGCUUUGAAUAAAUGCUUGUUCCAGAGCCCAUGAAUGCCAGCAGGCACCCCUCCUUUCCUGGGGUAAAGGUUUUCAGAUGCUGCAUCUUCUAAAUUGAGCCUCCGGUCAUACUAGUUUUGUGCUUGGAACCUUGCUUCAAGAAGAUCCCUAAGCUGUAGAACAUUUUAACGUUGAUGCCACAACGCAGAUUGAUGCCUUGUAGAUGGAGCUUGCAGAUGGAGCCCCGUGACCUCUCACCUACCCACCUGUUUGCCUGCCUUCUUGUGCGUUUCUCGGAGAAGUUCUUAGCCUGAUGAAAUAACUUGGGGCGUUGAAGAGCUGUUUAAUUUUAAAUGCCUUAGACUGGGGAUAUAUUAGAGGAAGCAGAUUGUCAAAUUAAGGGUGUCAUUGUGUUGUGCUAAACGCUGGGAGGGUACAAGUUGGUCAUUCCUAAAUCUGUGUGUGAGAAAUGGCAGGUCUAGUUUGGGCAUUGUGAUUGCAUUGCAGAUUACUAGGAGAAGGGAAUGGUGGGUACACCGGUAGUGCUCUUUUGUUCUUGCUUCGUUUUUUUAAACUUGAACUUUACUUCGUUAGAUUUCAUAAUACUUUCUUGGCAUUCUAGUAAGAGGACCCUGAGGUGGGAGUUGUGGGGGACGGGGAGAAGGGGACAGCUUGGCACCGGUCCCGUGGGCGUUGCAGUGUGGGGGAUGGGGGUAUGCAGCUUGGCACUGGUACUGGGAGGGAUGAGGGUGAAGAAGGGGAGAGGGUUGGUUAGAGAUACAGUGUGGGUGGUGGGGGUGGUAGGAAAUGCAGGUUGAAGGGAAUUCUCUGGGGCUUUGGGGAAUUUAGUGCGUGGGUGAGCCAAG
rnacentral:lncRNA from 1 species